GACGAACGCUGGCGGCGUGCUUAACACAUGCAAGUCGAACGGAAAGGCCCUGCUUUUGUGGGGUGCUCGAGUGGCGAACGGGUGAGUAACACGUGAGUAACCUGCCCUUGACUUUGGGAUAACUUCAGGAAACUGGGGCUAAUACCGGAUAGGAGCUCCUGCUGCAUGGUGGGGGUUGGAAAGUUUCGGCGGUUGGGGAUGGACUCGCGGCUUAUCAGCUUGUUGGUGGGGUAGUGGCUUACCAAGGCUUUGACGGGUAGCCGGCCUGAGAGGGUGACCGGGGACAGUGGGACUGAGAUACGGCCGAGAAUGCUACGGGAGGCAGAAGGGGGGAAUAUUGCACAAUGGGCGGAAGCCUGAUGCAGCAACGCCGCGGGCGGGAUGACGGCAUGAGGGUUGUAAACAGAUUUCGCCUGUGACGAAGCGUGAGUGACGGUAAUGGGUAAAGAAGCACCGGCUAACUACGUG
rnacentral:rRNA from 1 species